GAUCAUGGCUCAGGAUGAACGCUGGCGGCGUGCCUAACACAUGCAAAUCGAACGAAGCACUUUAAUUGAUUUCUUCGGAAUGAAGUUUUUGUGACUGAGUGGCGGACGGGUGAGUAACGCGUGGGUAACCUGCCUCAUACAGGGGGAUAACAGUUGGAAACGACUGCUGAUACCGCAUAAGCGCACAGGAUUGCAUGAUCCAGUGUGAAAAACUCCGGUGGU
rnacentral:rRNA from 1 species